AUACUAACUGUUUGAUGAAAUGACUCAAGAAAGAAGGUUUUGGUGGUAGAACUUUGUUGUGAUUACUGUUGAUGCUGUUGUAAUUUUAUUCAUUUGUUUCUGUGGUGAUAUUCUUCAGCCCUCAAUGCAGGCAAAUUGCUGUGUAGCUAAAUUUUGAUAUCAAAUCCAAGGAUUGUCAGUAUUUUCUUUACUUUUAGUUGACCCUUUAUUUCAUUUGUUUGAUGUAAAUGUGAAAGGCUAUUUCUAAGUUGAUAUCUCCAAGUCUAUGCUCUACUAAUUUUAGUUCUGCAGAUUUUUUUGGGCAUUUGAAGCAGGAAACAAUCACAAAAUCUGCCACUCAGAUUGUGCAAGGACAACAUGGAAAGAGUUGCCAUCUUUUGAUCUUGUUGUUGGAAGAGCUUGAUUAGCCAGUUGCGGCGCUGCAUUCUCACAAGUCCCAGUCUCUCAGGAUUGCUGCACUAAAUCCGGUCAAAUUCGGUUUGGACUUAACAUUACUUUUACUUUUCCAUUUCCUUUCAGAUCUUCUACUUAAAAUGGAAACAGAGGAGGGUUUGAGGCAGGAAUCAAGUUGUGUAACACUAUUUAUGGCUCAUGCUGCUGGAAACAGAUUCACAUCCAUACUCAUAACUUAGUUAAAGGGCAUGAUGGAGCAGAAUGCUAGCAGAUAUCAGGUGAUUGGAGACACACUAUGGCAAUCACAUCAGAUGGAAAACUUUAUGGCUGGGGAUGGAAUAAGGUGGCUUGAUCCUCUUGAGGCCUGAUCAUGGUGGCCCACUCCAGUUUGCAGCAGCUGUGGCGUUUCUUAGUAAAUUAUACAAAGACUAUCUUGGUCAAGUACGGUUACCUCAUUUGGCAAUUCUGCUUCUAUCCCUGUGUUUCUCUGUUGGAAUGUAACUCUUUGGAGACGAGUAGAGGCACUGGCAGCUGCCAUAAGAAAGUUGAAGUAGAUCAGUUCAUGAGGAUGAGUACUGUUCUGAUGCAUCUAUUUUUGUACAAGUGGUCCCCAUGUUUCAUUGAUUCGCACCAAGGACAUGAUGUGCCCCGGCAUUGAUGGAAUAUGGCCCAAAUUUUCUUGCGGAUCAGAUGAUUCUAUCCAUCCCACCUAUGACUGUUAUUUCAGACAUUUGUUGUGUUUCUUGCCUAACUGCUCAUUUGUAGCCCAUUGAUCCAGCAUUGGGAAUCAUUUGUGGUGGAGAUGCAGCAGAUCAAAUAUAUAUUAAUGUUUCUCAUGGGCCCCUGAAUUAUGUUGCAACCAAAUGGUAUAGAACUCCUGAAUUGUGUGGAUCCUUUUUUCUCCAAGGUACAUGAAUUUUAGUUGGCCAGUUAUAACCUUUGCUCCUUUCUUUUGUAGUGCUUAUUUCCUUUACUUCUGUUAUAAAUUCUGUUUAUUCUUUUUAGCAUUGCAUUGAUUGUUUUAAAGAUUUUAUUUGGAAUGGAGCUUGGAUGUUAGGAACAUUGUGUGGUAUGGGUUGUAUGAAUGAAACUAUAAAUUCUCUACUUUGUAAGCGAUGUAAUCAUUGCAGAUAAUUGCUUUUCUAGUACAGCCUGAAGCCUCUUGUGCCUAGGCUAUCUGAACUUCUCAGCAUCAAGGUAUGCUUUAUUUUGCCCUCAUGUCAAGUCAAUAUUGCAGUCUUCGAUUUCGAUAUUUGCUUUGUUUAUAAUCAAAGGGAUGAUUUGCUCCUCAUUUAUUCAUGAGUAUUGUGUAUGCUGGAGAGGUUGAGAUGGCUGAUGACUGUAUUGGUGAGGGAGUUGAAAAAAUGGUGGUUGGGAUGGUUGUACAAUACCCAAAUAGAGAAAUACUUGGGAAAAAAAAAACAGAUUGAUUCGAGACCAGGCCAUCGGAAUGAUGCAUGCUUAAAUUUGACUGAGGAUGCUGCAAAGAUCCCUAAGAUUGUAAGAUCCCAUCAUCCAAACAAUGGUCAAUGAGAAGAAGGAAGAAAAACCCAAAUCAUAUUGGU